GUGCUCACUUCGGCAGCACAUAUACUAAAACUGGAACGAUACAAAGAAGAUUAGCAUGGCCCCUGUGCAAGGAUGACACGCAAAUUUGUGAAGCAUAUUUUU
rnacentral:snRNA from 1 species